rnacentral:rRNA from 1 species
AGAAGCAGAGCGUUUUCCCCUCUGUCUUCUCUCAAGCUAAAGGCUGAUUUUGGAGAGCGGCGGCUGCUGGUUCGAGCCUCUGGAUAACUGGAUCAAGGGUUACAGCCUGCGUCUACUAAUGGCAACGAAGCAACCGUCAGACAGUACCUUGUGUUGACUACACCUAGACUUCCUACGAAAACCCUUUAAACCAGCUCAAUGACUCUGUUUCCACCAAGAACUGUUCAAGAGACCGGCUAGUGCACCGAAACCUAAACACUGAAAACUACUGUUCUUCCGGUACCUUCUUCGACAACUCCGAUACUUACCUUAACUAAACCUACCUUCCUUAUAAUGACAACUUUCUCGUGUUGGAGUUCCAAGUCCGUCCCUGGCACUACCUCUAGCUCUGAUAGCACCACCACCACUGGCGAUACCACCACCGGCACUAAAACCACCGCCAGCACCACCACCAGCACCACCACCGCCACUAACGAUGUUUACACCGUUCGGACCAGUAAAACGUUCCCUCACGGGUAGACCACUACCACCCCUGUCCAUACCAUCGUCCCUACUGUCCAUGUCAUCGUCCCUACUGUCCAUGUCAUCGUCCCUACUGUCCAUGUCAUCAUCCCUACUGUCCAUACCACCGUCCCUACCACGUUCCCUACUGUUCAUACCACCAUCGUUGCCGUCGUCAGCGAUACCCGGACUGGCACCACCACUAGCGAUAAGACCUUCAGCACUACCUCCUUCGGCGCCGUCACCACCGCCACUAGCUAUGUCGGCACUGUCCAGACCUGGCAUACUAGCAGCGUCGGCUCUACUUAUGACUAGAACUACCACCUCUAAGACAGAGUCCAUACUUUCCAUAACCUAUUAUGUUCACCAUACAAACGAAAUAGUGUAUUCCGUCGUUUACCAAACGACAACAUGAGAAAUACUCUUCAAAUUACGAAAACAAUAGGUACGACUGAUCACGAACCAAAUGGUUACAAGGAUAGACCUAAACCGAACAUUGGCCAAGGAACCCUCGAAGUCACCUAACGCAAUAAAACAGACUCAUUAUAAACCCUAGGUACAAAGACGCAACGAGACUACCAUUUUCAGGACAGUACUAUGACCAGAAACCACGACAAGAACAUAACGUAGCGACACCAAUAACCUUAACGCCAGAACUACAGUUCCUACAACUUCUUGUUGUCGAGAAAUAAAUCAGAACAACACCAGAACUCCUUUCUUAGUUGCAAGACACUAACCCCAUUGAUAUUUUAUAAGGUAGACUUUGAACACUGGUUGCUUUGUUUACCGUAAACCGGAAACACAAGGAUAACCAGACGAACCGAAUCACGAUUUUGAAACGACAAGUUGGUACCCAGGCUUACGAACGAGAUCAUGACAAGACACCGUGAAGGGAGUCAAUCUGGUUGUAUUCUAGAACGACCGUACCCAGUGAAACGAGUAGUUGUGAAGAAACCCGAGGAUCAUAUUGCGUUACGAAGGAACCCUUGGACCUUUCUCAACGAACGAAGUGACCCUACCCGAGAGAGAAUGGAAGUAAGGACGACAUUGGGUUCAGACUCCCGGGAAUUCUUUCAAGAUCUUAGAGGGUACACUUCCAACUAGGAAAUAAUUACACAAAGAGCUUCCCCCUUGACACAACAAAGAGUCGCUUCCAGCGGAUGUGAACGAAGACCAAUUGAAUGCGUCGCUCUUCCACAUCUACUUUUACAAAUAAACAUCCCAAGCCACAGAAAGAAAAACUGUCAUCUCACUCGAGGUUUACAAAAUUCUUUCCGUCGGACUAAGUAUAACACGGUUAUUAAAACCGUCGGACUCGAGGUUGCUAAAACAACAACGACACAAACGGAAGACAUUAAAACAUGUUAUGAAUUAAGUGGUCGACAACAGUUUACCUAUACGAACCAAGGUUUAAUAACCUUCAAACUCGAAACAGCAUUCAGUUUGAAGAUAUAAAACAGAUCUGUUACAAAUUGAAGUUUAUAUAACUUUGAUUCCUUCGCACCCUUGACAACACUUC